AUUGAACGCUGGCGGCAUGCCUUACACAUGCAAGUCGAACGGUAACAGAUCUUCGGAUGCUGACGAGUGGCGAACGGGUGAGUAAUACAUCGGAACGUGCCUAGUAGUGGGGGAUAACUACUCGAAAGAGUGGCUAAUACCGCAUGAGAUCUACGGAUGAAAGCAGGGGAUCGCAAGACCUUGUGCUACUAGAGCGGCCGAUGGCAGAUUAGGUAGUUGGUGGGAUAAAAGCUUACCAAGCCGACGAUCUGUAGCUGGUCUGAGAGGACGAUCAGCCACACUGGGACUGAGACACGGCCCAGACUCCUACGGGAGGCAGCAGUGGGGAAUUUUGGACAAUGGGCGCAAGCCUGAUCCAGCAAUGCCGCGUGCAGGAUGAAGGCCUUCGGGUUGUAAACUGCUUUUGUACGGAACGAAAAGACCUGGGUUAAUACCCUGGGGUCAUGACGGUACCGUAAGAAUAAGCACCGGCUAACUACGUGCCAGCAGCCGCAGUAAUAC
rnacentral:rRNA from 1 species